rnacentral:rRNA from 1 species
UAACUACGUGCCAGCAGCCGCGGUAAUACGUAGGGUGCAAGCGUUAAUCGGAAUUACUGGGCGUAGAGCGUGCGCAGGCGGUUCGGAAAGAAAGAUGUGAAAUCCCAGAGCUUAACUUUGGAACUGCAUUUUUAACUACCGAGCUAGAGUGUGUCAGAGGGAGGUGGAAUUCCGCGUGUA